rnacentral:rRNA from 1 species
AUUACCCCUUGUACCUUUGCAUAAUGAAUUAACUAGUAUAAGACUUAACAAAAUGAAUUUUAGCUAAGCAGCCCGAAACCAGACGAGCUACUCACAAACAGUUUACCAAGAACUAACUCAUCUAUGUGGCAAAAUAGUGAGAAGAUUUGUAAGUAGAGGUGACAUGCCUAACGAGCCUGGUGAUAGCUGGUUGUCCAGAAAAUGAAUCUAAGUUCAGCUUUAAAGAUACCAAAAAUUCAAAUAAACCCCACUGUAGCUUUAAAAGUUAGUCUAAAAAGGUACAGCCUUUUAGAAACGGANACAACCUUGACUAGAGAGUAAAAUUUAACACUACCAUAGUAGGCCUAAAAGCAGCCAUCAAUUAAGAAAGCGUUA